UGAUACUAACCCGUGAACAAAUUCUUGUGCAUAUUGAGGAACCGCAUCGGAAGGUGCGUGUUAGCCUGUCGUGUUCCUAGUAAUACCCUUAAGUCGUGGGGUUGAGCACGCAAGCUUGCUUUGGCGGACGAUUUUCGUCGUGAUGAUUUGUGCCACGGUUCGUUUGGACCCGGAACAUGCCAUUACGAUUGACCGCAGGAGCACCUCCCCUUGGGUCCCCCGGAUGCUUUUGACAAUGUCGAAUGCUCUGGGUGUGGCUGGAGGGCAACCUCGACAACCCAAACAAAAAA
rnacentral:misc_RNA from 1 species